AGUCGAGGGGUAGAGUAGCAAUACUUGAGACCGGCGCACGGGUGCGUAACGCGUAUGCAACCUACCUUUUACAGGGGAAUAGCCCAGAGAAAUUUGGAUUAAUGCCCCAUGGUAUAUUUUAGUGGCAUCACUGGAUUAUUAAAGUUCCAACGGUAAAAGAUGGGCAUGCGUCCUAUUAGCUAGAUGGUAAGGUAACGGCUUACCAUGGCUACGAUAGGUAGGGGUCCUGAGGGGGAGAUCCCCCACACUGGUACUGAGACACGGACCAGACUCCUACGGGAGGCAGCAGUGAGGAAUAUUGGACAAUGGGCGCAAGCCUGAUCCAGCCAUGCCGCGUGCAGGAAGAAGCAUCUAUGGUGUGUAAACUGCUUUUGUACGGGAAGAAACACCUCUACGUGUAGAGGCUUGACGGUACCGUAAGAAUAAGGAUCGGCUAACUCCGUGCCAGCAGCCGCGGUAAUACGGAGGAUCCAAGCGUUAUCCGGAAUCAUUGGGUUUAAAGGGUCCGUAGGCGGCUUGGUAAGUCAGUGGUGAAAGCCCUUCGCUCAACGGAGGAACGGCCAUUGAUACUGCCAGACUUGAAUUACUGGGAAGUAACUAGAAUAUGUAGUGUAGCGGUGAAAUGCUUAGAUAUUACAUGGAAUACCAAUUGCGAAGGCAGGUUACUACCGGUGGAUUGACGCUGAUGGACGAAAGCGUGGGGAGCGAACAGGAUUAGAUACCCUGGUAGUCCACGCCGUAAACGAUGGAUACUAGCUGUUGGGAGCAAUCUCAGUGGCUAAGCGAAAGUGA
rnacentral:rRNA from 1 species